CCUGCCUAUGGUUACAGCUAAUUGACCAAAUGGGAUGGCCUUCUAGCUCUACUACUGGACUGAAAUGAAUCAGACUGACCGCGACAAAGGGUGCAGGUAACCUGGGAAGAGGUAGCGCCAUCGCAAAGUCCCUCGCGACAACAUCCAGGGAAUCACCAAGCCCGCCACUCGCCGUCCCGCACGCAGGGUCGGUGCGAAGCGCAUCCCUGGUCCCAUCCACGAGAAGACGCGCGGCGCUCCCAAGGCGCCCCUGGAGAAUGUGAUCUGUGCUAAUGCUGCAAGAACACAGGUGAGUAUCCCUGGGUCAGAGGGAAAGAGAGGAAGAGGAUUCAAGUUAAGAAAAGAGAGCAAUUGUGAUAAACAGAGAAGAGGGAGCAAAAGAGAAAAAAAGUAAUAAUAAUAAUAAUAAUAUAAAAAUAAUAAUAAUAAAAUAAAAAUAGUAGUAUAAUUGAAUAAAUAAAAAUAAGAGAUAAGUGAAUUAGAAUAAAUAGGAUGAUAAGAAAAAUAAAAAAAGAAGAAAAAAAAUUGUAAUAAUAAUAAUAAAUUUAAAAAAAAAGGAAAAUAAAAUAAUUAAAAGAAAGAGAAAAUAUUUAGAAGAGCACAGGGUAAAAAUAAUAGGGAUAAAAAAAAGCAAACACAGCGCCUGGGGAUGUUGGUGUAGAAGAAACAAAAAAAAAGGACCUUAUCAAAGGAAUCAGAAAAUUUUUCUUUUGAGGAGAAAGUAAUUUCAGGGUAUAAAUUUUGAAAGUAAUAAAUCGCAUCUUAUGCCAACCAAUGAAAAUGAGCGGCCGUCAAACCACAAAACCCCCGGUUGUGACGUCCAGCGAUUAAUCGACCAAUCAGCGUGCGGCGUCCAAUUUCGCCCGCGGCCCUCUAACCCUUGGGUGAUUAGAGACGGCGCUUGGUGAAAUCCCGUCCGCAAGCCAACUGGCAAAUUAAAAGUUUGACAUCGCAUACAUAGUUCGUGAUACACGCAUAUGCAAGUAACAACGCUGAUGUAAGGUUUAGGUGGAAUUAGAGUCGGAAACCUCCUCUGAUUCCACCUCUCGGAUCCGCGGCCUUAGCCUGUCGCAAGCCAGGAGAAAAUCGAUACAGGCUCGCCAGGUCAAACAAUUGUAGGUGAAGUCGCGGAGCGCCCUCGGCGUGUAACCGAGUUCCCUCCCCGCUAUAAAUAGUAGACGAGUUCUGAGUGAGUCCAGACUGUCACACUCGAGCAUGAUAUGCUCCAGAGUUUCUUCCUCUCCAGAGUCACAGAAAGGGCAGAUUGGAUCAUCAAUAAAUCUAAGUCUGUGAGCAAAGCUGUCUGUCCACGUGUGUCCAGUCAGUAGGCCAAUCACGGCGUGGACACUAAGGAUGAUGUACGCAUGCUUUUUGUCCAAGAGACUCUUUGGAGAAAGACCAAAGCGGGUGAAGAUUGUGCGCUUGGCGGAGAUGAACCUGUCCUGCCAAGCUGCCCACGCCCGCUUGUAGAUUGUCGAUUUAAGUUUCGACAGCGGUGCGAGGCGAUAGCAGCUCAGGAGAUCAGAUUCCGCCCCGCGUUUCGCGAGCACAUCAGCAACCUCAUUACCAAAAAUCCCGCUGUGGCCUUUGAUCCAUUGUAUGGUACAUCUUUUCCCAUUGCGGUUCAGUUGCGAAAUCAGCCACAAAGCCCUGUUGACAAGGAGGUUGCCUGUUCUGGAGUUUAGAACGGAUUUCACAACUGAGAGGUUAUCCAGUAGAACUUCAAUAGUAUAAACGAUAAGGAAGAGUAUUAUACAAUCUAUGGAGAAAGUUUUCAAGUAAUUUUAUUUUACUUCAAUAGUAUAAUUAUCGGGAAGCUUUGAGGCGUCCUCAAGUGCUUUAAUCAAGCCAAGUGCCUCCGCUUGGAAGACAGAACAGUACGGGGACAGGACAAAACUCUCACGCAAUUCAUUCAUGGAGCCAUUCGCACACACUAUAUAUAGGCCUGUGCCAACUCCAGUUUUCGUCUUGGAACUAUCUGUGUAGUAGGUGACGUCAGCCGAAAGAUCAGGAAUAUUAAUGGGAGCGGAGUAAUAGGGAGGAUAGGGAAGUGGGUGAGAGCAGGGAGGAGGCUCGACUGGAAAUUCAGCGUUAACAAAACUGUGCUUUUCAAAGUACAAUUCCGCCUUUGCGUCGACAUCCAGAUCGAGAGGGAGAACGCGAGAAAGAGAGAUGAGAGAGCUGUUGUCAGUUGUUUUAAACGCGCGGCAUGUCCUGAUGAGGAACGGGCGCUGCGCGCUUAAGAGAGUUUUUAACGAGCGUUGUUUAAGAUUGGAAAACCACACCGGAUAAGCGUGAGAAAUGGCUGGAACCACAACCUGUAGAUAGAGCAUCCUCAGGACACGGAAACCAAAGCCAAAAUUGGAGUUGGCAGCUGCUGUCAAACGCGGGAGAAAACCGCGGACUCUGGUGCAAACCUCUACCACAUGCUGGUGGAAGGUGAGACGCUGAUCAAACCUUACUCCCAGCACUUUGAUUGAGUCGCUCCAUUGAAUGGGUUGACCAUUAAUGGUCAGAUCGCAGCUAGGCUUUAGUUGUCUGCCAGAAGGUCUUAGAAGGAGCAUGGCCUGACACUUCUUCACGCUAAGUUCCAGUUUAUGCAGGCCACACCACCUCGUGAUCUCAUUAAUGGCAAGUUGCGCCGCUCCAAGUGUCAAAUUAUAUUGACAAAUAUUUGCAAUCUUAUCAUAUCUUAUCUCAGGUUUUAGUGGAAAGAAUUUGUGUUUUCGUUUGAUUGUGAACAAAUCUCUCCCGCCUUCUCAUUGGACGAAUGUGGCCAUGUUUGUAUAUAAAUGGGGCUAUGGUAUGAGUCGACGCCAGUGUGGUGGAUGAUCUUGUGGGGACACUUAAAGUGUUCUCUGCGUGCUAUAUCCCUGUCUGGCAAUCUCGGCGCAUACCUGUGUAACCCCGGUCCGAUCCCUACCUAAGCAGCAAUAAAGCUAAGUACUGUUUUUUAUUUUAUUUAACAAAUUGUGGUUUAUUAUUUACUUUUUUUUGUGUUGUACUUUUGAGUCCACGAUUUUUCUGUGUUUAAGUUACUCUUACUGUAGGCCCUAAUAUUGUAUUUGUGUGUUAACCCGUACAAAGUAACUUUUGUCACAAGUUGAUUUGCAACUUGGCCCGCCACCACCAUAACAAGAUCGUCGGCGUGGGCCUGCGGGUGAACACAUUUUCUAAAGUUGAGCGUGAGAAGCUCGUCAAAGACAAGGUUCCAAGAAACGGCCCAAGGACUGAGCCCUGCGGGCAGCCCUUGGAGACCUGCCUCGUGACCGUGCAACCAUUCAUUGACAGUCUGACAACGAUUAUUGAGGAAGGAACUAAUUAGAAUAAACAGGUUCUUUGGACAAUCAUUCAUACACAGAGCUCGCAAUAUGCUGGAGUGUAGCACAUUGUCAAAAGCGCCUUUCACAUCAAAGGAAAGAAGAAUAGAGAAUUUUCUAUGCUGAAGCGACCGGGAGAGAUUAUUUUAUAAAUUUAGAAGUGCGGCGACAGUAGAUUUGCAGGGCCUGAAACCGAACUGGUUUGGUUGGGCUUUACACAUCCUCUCAGCUCGCCACGAGAGCCUGGCCAGGAUAAGACGCUCUAGAAUUUUACCUAAGCCUGGCAGCAUCGUGAUGGGCCGAUGAGACGCGAGAAAGUCCUCACCACCUUUUUUGGGAAUUAGUAUUACAUCACCCAGUUUCCAAGGGGUUGGAAAAUGUCCAGUUUCAAAGCACCUAUUAAAAAUCUUUAAAAAGAACUUCGGAAUUUUUUAAAUUAAUUUAACAAUGACAAGAGGUGGCAUACCAUCACUGCCAGGAGCAGAAGUUAAGCGAACCUUAUCCGCAGCCAGUAGCAGCUCUGCUUCUGAGAACGGUGGGUCGUUAUCAGAGGUGGAAUGCGCGGCUUUAGGCAAGUUAACAUGCUCUACAGUUGUAUCGGGCGGGACGCGGCCGAAGUAGUGCUUUAAAACGUGUUCUAGAGUGUCCCGCGGACUCUCAGUGAGAUCAUCGCCAACCAGGAGAGAGGAAAGAGGCUUCCUCUUGGUGGAACCUUUUAUAAAUUUGUAAACGCCGCCCCAGGGGCUAACCUCGCAAAGUGAACAGAUUCUUUUCUAUUCAGCAAGCUUCGCGUGUCUGAUAGAGGUGCGAAAUCUAUUAUAUAAUUUCUUAUAAAAUAUCUUUAACACGCUUCUAACAGGCCCACGAGCUUUUCUCCACGCCCAUUCAGCUUUUUGAGUAGCAUUUAGGAGCGGAUUUAGUUCAGGUUUCCACCAAAUGGGUUUCUUAAAAAAAAAAAAUGGUGAAAGGUUUAGAGGGAAUGGUUUGGAGACACGAGUGAAACACCUCGUAUUUUAGUCAAUUAAUAACUUCAUCAAUUUGAGUUGUGUCACUCGCGUCCAGUAAGGAGGAAAUUCUAAAAAAAAAAAUAUUAAAGUUAGAAAAAAAAAAAAUUCCCAGUCGGCGCGACCAAAGCUGAAGUGUACUUCGCUAAAGUUGUUUAUGUGUAUAUCGUUAUGGCUGUUAGAAGAGAGGGGUUCAAAAUUAACGUUAAACACGAGGCUUUUAUGGUCAGAUAAAGCCUGGUUGAUUGCAUUCCAAUCGGCGAUCCUGUCCGCGAGGCCAGCAGAACAACACGUGACGUCGAUGGAGGAGGACCUCUCGCCCUCCUCCCACGUGAUCGUGCUGUGUUUGUUGACAACAUGGAGCAGGUUAGCGCCAAGGAAGUUAUCGACAUUUUCUCUUUUGGAGCAUUUGUAUUUAAGCAACCGCGCUUUAUUUGACCAUCUAUAGGAUUCAAUAUUAAAGUCGCCGCAAAAAAUCACCUCGUGGAAAUUAAUUGUUUUUAAAGAGUUGUCUAUCCUAUCAAGAAGAGCGUCGGAACAACAUGAUGGUGAAAGAUAAACAGUACACAGAAGGAUUGACAAGUCAUUCACUUCACACAGGACAAAUACAGCAUUCACACAAGACAAGUGAGACAAGUGUAUGAAUUUUAAAUUCGGAUUUGCUAUUAUUACAGCCGCUCCCAAUUUAUUUUCGAUUAUUGGACCGUGACAAACCCUGUCAAGAGGCACAGAUAGUGAUGGUAAAUUGUUUUUGGAAACUGGGAGUUCUUGCAACAAUGGCACAUCCGAUUUUUCCUCGCGACAUUCAUUCAAUAAGGAGUACAAACAAUAUGGAGAGCGUCUUACAUUGGCUUGAACACACUUUAGAACGUUCAUCGCACCAACAAUUUAUUGAAGUUAUCCUGUGCCUCCCGCAUGUGUUUACACGCCAUGGAGUUGGCACUGUGUUUGUCACCACACCUGUGACAUUUCAACACAGUUUUGUUUUCACAGGUUUCGGAAAGAUGUGCACCAGCUCAGUGGCUACAUUUAGCCGCCCUAGUGCACUUCUUUCCGUUGGUGUGGGUUCUGUGACUUAAACUGCCACAGACACCACAUGGAAAGACUCGCUUUGCUCUAGCGAGUCUCAGCGAGAGGAAGUCAAUCGUGAUCCUACCACGCUCGAGCAAGGCAGUCUUCACUUCCUUAUUUACUUCUACUAUCGCGGUGGAGGGGGCACCCUCUUUCCUAAUUAGUUUCACCAUCCUGAUGUCUUCUCUUUUGCUUGAUAAUUUCCGGAUUUCAACAAACUUUGAGUGGUAAUCGACAACCAAGAUGGAACUGGUUCCACUCACCUCCAUGAAAUCUACAGCAAUUUUUUCCCAUGGAAAUUCAGGGAUUUCAUGAGCUAUUCUUGACUCCUCAGGAUUCUUUCUUGAAUAUUCCUGACAUGUUCUGCACUUUUCUACUUGUGUUAUCAUGCCUGGCCAGUAAAAUGCUGAUCUUGCUUUUUCUUUGGAAGCUGCUAUGCCCUGGUGUGAUGAAUGAACAACCUGCAGGAUUUCUUUUCGAAGAGUCGAUGGCACCAUGAUGCAAUUUCCUUUGUAAACAAUUCCGUCACUCACAGGAAUUUCAUCUUGAAAUUGCCAGUAGGGUUUUGCUUCAUCACAGACCAUAGUUUUAUAUUUCGGCCAUCCAUUCUUCGCAUACUCUAUUAGUUGUAUCAAGGUGUGGUCCCCAUGAGUUUCCUUUUGUAGUCUCUUUAUUUUUUCAUCUGUGGUAACCAGCAACAUGUGCACUGAUUCAGUUUGACCUUCUAAAUAGCUUGUGUCCACCUCAUCUUUUAAUGGAUCUCUAGACAGAUGGUCAGCUAUAAACAUGUUUUUCCCUGGUGUAAACUUCAAAGAUAUUUGAAAUCUCAUGAGACGUAAGACCAUUCUUUGCAGUCUUGGGGAAAGCUUUUCUAAAGGUUUCUUAACAAUACUCAGGAGAGGUUUGUGGUCAGUUUCCACAAUAACAUCAUUUCCCCAAAUAUAGUACUGGAAGCGUUCACAUCCAAAGACUAUAGCCAAAAGUUCUUUCUCUAUCUGUGCGUAUUUUCUUUGAGUUGCAUUCAGGCUGAAGGACGCAUACUCAAUUGCUUGUCCCCCUUGCAUGAGCACUGUACCAAUACCAUAUUGGCUUGCAUCAGAUGAAAUGGUGAUUGGCUUGGUUGGGUCAAAAAAUGUCAAUAUUGGAGAAUUCGAAACCAUAUUCUUGAGUUUUUCAAAACAAUCAUUUUCUUCGCCUCCAAAUUUUUUAUUCACUCUUGUUGCUUAUCAAUUUCCUUAGAGGUGCAGUCUUGUCAGACAGAUUAGGAAUAAAUUU